rnacentral:misc_RNA from 1 species
AGUUCUCAACCCUCUCGUCAAUGUGAUGGAUUGGACUGUUGGAAUUUGCAGGCUUUUCAAGGUCUGCUUUUCUGAAAUGAAUUAGUGGCGUCUGAGACCACUACAGGUUGUAAUUUAUGCCUCUUGUAAAGUCUCUGUUG